UAACCCACGCGUCGUGUUUUUUCGUCGACUUGGUAUUAGGUUUCAAGUUUACAUUUUAAGACUUCGACUUUCUCGGAGCAGUAUAGGGUUCGGACCAACAGCAACAAUUAGGUGGUAUACGUUUGGUAGAACUCCUUAAAUCAACUAGGUUACGCAACUGUUUGAAACCCGCAUAAUGUUUGUAAAAACGCUGUCGGAGCGUUAACGGUAUACAAUAUUAUCUAAGAAAAUAAAAUAAUGUCUUAUCUCAGAAAAACAUUGUUGGCGUGGCACGUGAUGAUAACGUGUUAAUGAUCGUGACUGAGUGCCUCAGCGACCAUCCACUUUGGCCCGACGCGACUCGGCGUUCGAAAAAUGUAAUGCAUACGCUCCGGACUAGGGCUUCGCGAU